AGAGUUUGAUCAUGGCUCAGAACGAACGCUGGCGGCGUGCUUAAUACAUGCAAGUCGAACGAGAAAGCCUGGCUUCGGUCGGGCGAGUAAAGUGGCGAACGGGUGGGUAACACGUGGACAAUCUGCCCCUGAAUCUGGGAUAAUCUUCCGAAAGGAGGUCUAAUACCGGAUAAUAUCAUUGGAGGGCAUCCUCUGGUGAUCAAAGGCGGGGUAACCUGCCGUUUAGGGAUGAGUCCGCGCCCCAUUAGCUUGUUGGUAGGGUAAUGGCCUACCAAGGCUUCGAUGGGUAGCCGGCCUGAGAGGGCGAUCGGCCACACUGGGACUGAGAUACGGCCCAGACUCCUACGGGAGGCAGCAGUAGGGAAUAUUGCGCAAUGGACGCAAGUCUGACGCAGCAACGCCGCGUGGGUGAUGAAGCAUUUCGGUGUGUAAAACCCUGUCAGCGGGGAAGAAACGUAAGGACAGUAACUGGUCUUUACCUGACGGUACCCGCAGAGGAAGUCCCGGCUAACUCCGUGCCAGCAGCCGCGGUAAUACGGGGGGGACAAGCGUUGUUCGGAUUUACUGGGCGUAAAGGGCGCGUAGGCGGACCUACAAGUCGGAAGUGAAAUCUGGCAGCUUAACUGCCAGCCUGCUUACGAUACUGUUGGUCUUGAGUACAGGAGAGGAAAGCGGAAUUCCAGGUGUAGCGGUGAAAUGCGUAGAUAUCUGGAAGAACACNGGUAGCGAAGGCGGCUUUCUGGACUGAUACUGACGCUAAAGCGCGAAGGNUAGGGUANCAAACAGGAUUAGAUACCNUGNAGUCCUAGCGNNAAACGANGGGUACUAGGNNGUCGGGGGUAUCNACCCCNUCGGUGCC
rnacentral:rRNA from 1 species